AGUGGCGGACGGGUGAGUAACACGUGGGUAACCUGCCCUUAAGUGGGGGAUAACAUUUGGAAACAGAUGCUAAUACCGCAUAGAUCCAAGAACCGCAKGGUUCUUGGCUGAAAGAUGGCGUAAGCUAUCGCUUUUGGAUGGACCCGCGGCGUAUUAGCUAGUUGGUGAGGUAAUGGCUCACCAAGGCGAUGAUACGUAGCCDAACUGAGAGGUUGAUCGGMCACAUUGGGACUGAGACACGGCCCAAACUCCUACGGGAGGCAGCAGUAGGGAAUCUUCCACAAUGGACGCAAGUCUGAUGGAGCAACGCCGCGUGAGUGAAGAAGGCUUUCGGGUCGUAAAACUCUGUUGUUGGAGAAGAAUGGUCGGCAGAGUAACUGUUGUCGGCGUGACGGUAUCCAACCAGAAAGCCACGGCUAACUACGUGCCAGCAGCCGCGGUAAUACGUAGGUGGCAAGCGUUAUCCGGAUUUAUUGGGCGUAAAGCGAGCGCAGGCGGUUUUUUAAGUCUGAUGUGAAAGCCCUCGGCUUAACCGAGGAAGCGCAUCGGAAACUGGGAAACUUGAGUGCAGAAGAGGACAGUGGAACUCCAUGUGUAGCGGUGAAAUGCGUAGAUAUAUGGAAGAACACCAGUGGCGAAGGCGGCUGUCUGGUCUGUAACUGACGCUGAGGCUCGAAAGCAUGGGUAGCGAACAGGAUUAGAUACCCUGGUAGUCCAUGCCGUAAACGAUGAAUGCUAGGUGUUGGAGGGUUUCCGCCCUUCAGUGCCGCAGCUAACGCAUUAAGCAUUCCGCCUGGGGAGUACGACCGCAAGGUUGAAACUCAAAGGAAUUGACGGGGGCCCGCACAAGCGGUGGAGCAUGUGGUUUAAUUCGAAGCAACGCGAAGAACCUUACCAGGUCUUGACAUCUUUUGAUCACCUGAGAGAUCAGGUUUCCCCUUCGGGGGCAAAAUGACAGGUGGUGCAUGGUUGUCGUCAGCUCGUGUCGUGAGAUGUUGGGUUAA
rnacentral:rRNA from 1 species